rnacentral:rRNA from 1 species
GAAAGUAAAUAAGGGCGCAUGGCGGAUGCCUUGGCUCUCGGAGGCGAUGAAGGACGUGAUAAGCUGCGAUAAGCUUCGGGUAGGUGCAAAUGACCUUUGAUCCGAAGAUUUCCGAAUGGGACAACCCGGCAUUCUGAAGGAAUGUCAUCCAACUUUGUUGGAGGCUAACGCAGGGAACUGAAACAUCUUAGUACCUGCAGGAAAAGAAAAUAAAUAAUGAUUCCCCUAGUAGUGGCGAGCGAACGGGGAUUAGCCCAAACCACCCAUGUUACGGCAUGUGUGGGGUUGUAGGACCACGCUCUCGCAAGACAGUUAUUGAGAAGAAACGACUGGAAAGUCGUGCCAUAGACGGUGAUAGCCCGGUAUUCUAAGGUAACCGAAGCGUAGUGGUAUCCUGAGUAGCGCGGAGCACGAGGAAUUCUGCGUGAAUCAGCCGGGACCAUCCGGUAAGGCUAAAUACUCCCGAGAGACCGAUAGCGAACCAGUACUGUGAAGGAAAGGUGAAAAGCACUUCGAAUAGAAGAGUGAAAUAGUCCCUGAAACCAUGCGCCUACAAGCGGUCGGAGCAGCUUCAGCUGUGACGGCGUGCCUUUUGCAUAAUGAACCUACGAGUUACUUUUUCCGGCAAGGUUAAGCAUCUUGAGAUGUGGAUCCGAAGCGAAAGCGAGUCUGAACAGGGCGGAUAGUCGGAAGGAGUAGACGCGAAACCAAGUGAUCUACCCUUGGGCAGGUUGAAGGUUAGGUAACACUAACUGGAGGACCGAACCGAUAAGCGUUGAAAAGCUUCCGGAUGACCUGAGGGUGGGGGUGAAAGGCUAAUCAAACUUGGAGAUAGCUCGUACUCCCCGAAAUGCAUUUAGGUGCAGCCUUGAGAGUUACUAAUGUGAGGUAGAGCGACUGAUAAGAUGCGAGGGCUUCACCGCCUAUCAAGUCUUGAUAAACUCCGAAUGCGCAUUAGUUCUAUCUCAGGAGUGAGGGCAUGGGUGCUAAGGUCCAUGUCCUAAAGGAGAAGAAUCCAGACCAUCAGCUAAGGUCCCCAAAUAAACACUAAGUUGAACUAACGAAGUCAGAUUGCUAAGACAGCUAGGAUGUUGGCUUGGAAGCAGCCAUUCAUUUAAAGAGUGCGUAACAGCUCACUAGUCGAGGAGUUUGGCGUGGAUAAUAAUCGGGCAUAAGUCUUUUCCCGCAGCUAUGGGAUCCUAAUGGAUCGGUAGGGGAGCAUUCCACUCAGCGUUGAAGGCUAAGCGUGAGCUUUACUGGAGCGUGUGGAAAAGCAAAUGUAGGUAUAAGUAACGAUAAAGGGGGUGAGAAACCCCCUCGCCGCAAGACUAAGGUUUCCUGAUCAACGCUAAUCGGAUCAGGGUUAGUCGGGUCCUAAGGCUCAGCCGAACGGUGAGNCCGAUGGCAGAACAGGUUAAUAUUCCUGUACUACCUGUAGGAGUGAUGUGGAGACGGAGGAGUGACAACGCCGCGGACUGACGGAAUAGUCCGUUAAAGGGUGUAGAUGUUGAUUAUCCCAGGCAAAUCCGGGAUAAGAGUCGAACCUGACAGUAUACCAAUUUCCCCGGAAAACGGUAAUAGUGCGUGUAAACAUACUCCCAAGAAAAUCCGCUAAACUUAAUCUUACAGGUACCCGUACCGUAAACGGACACACGUAGUCGGGUUGAAUAUACUCAGGCGCUUGAGUGAAUCACGGUUAAGGAACUAGGCAAAUUGACCCUGUAACUUCGGGAUAAAGGGUCCCUACCCGGUGACGGGAGGGCGCAGAGAAUAGGUCCAGGCAACUGUUUAACAAAAACACAGGGCUGUGCAAAAUUGAAAGAUCACGUAUACAGCCUGACACCUGCCCGGUGCUGGAAGGUUAAGAGGAGAUGUCAUCGCAAGAGAAGCAUUGAAUUGAAGCCCCAGUAAACGGCGGCCGUAACUAUAACGGUCCUAAGGUAGCGAAAUUCCUUGUCGGGUAAGUUCCGACCUGCACGAAUGGUGUAAUGAUCUGGACACUGUCUCAACCGUGAGCUCAGUGAAAUUGUAGUAUCGGUGAAGAUGCCGAUUACCCGCGAUGGGACGAAAAGACCCCGUGACCUUUACUAUAGCUUAACAUUGAAUUUGGGUAAUUGAUGUG